rfam:Mus musculus chromosome 2, GRC primary reference assembly.
GGUGGAGGAAGUUCAUCAUCAGGCCAUGUGCCAGGUGUUCUUCUCUACCAAGCCACUGGGAAGGUCUGAGACUGACUCUUCCUAUGUCCCUAACCAGGCUUUCCCCAAGUGUACAGGUGAGUUUCCAGACAGCAGGUUUCCACCUUUGGACAGACAAGACUAGAGAGUCCCAGUGUGAGCAGAUGACUCUUCUCUGGGACUUAGAACAGAGUCAUAGGCAGCAGAGCAAGUUCAAACUCGGUCAGCAUGGUAGAUUACCCUCAUAGCAUUCUUGCUACU